UUUUUUUUUUGUACAAUGACUUGUAUUGUUUUUUUCCUCCUAUAUAUUAUAUUUAUAUAUUAUUAACCCUUAUGAAAAUAAUAUAACUUGUUUUUUUUUUUUUUUUAUUUUUUUUUUUCUAAGUGAGAGGUGUACAGCGUAGUCACGAUGAUGUUAAUUCGGUUUUUUUUUAUUUCGAUAUGUUCGAUUUGUCCCCGCCACCAACCUGCUCCACCCCCCACCCCCCAAACAACCGCCACCAAACCCCACGAACGCCGAAAAAAAUACGCGUAAAUACAUUUUAUACGGGGGAAAGGGACAACGGAAAUUAUAUACCCCCAAACGAUAACAUUUUAUACAAGGUCUAUAAAAAUAUAUACGUGUAAUUAUGAUAAACUACGUUUACGUAUGCGUUAUUAUCAAUCGUACGUUCGGCGUUAAAGAAAUAAAAGAGUUUGAUGAUUGAAAAAAAAAAAACAUCCCCGUGAAAACCCGUCACCCUACUCCCCCACCCCCACCCCAUUACUAUGUACGCAACUAUUUCUUAUAUUCUAUUUUAUAUACUUAUAUAUCCAUAUAUAUAUAUAUUAUUAUUAUUAUUAUUAUUAUUAUUAUUAGUUGGUUUAUAUUAUAUUAUUAUUAAACGUGUGUACAUAGAAUCGGCUGAGAAAAUACUAAAAUGAGAGAAAACCGGUGUGUACCGUAUGUAACGGAUGAAAAGCGUUAAAAAAAAAAAAAAAAAAAAAAAACAAACAAUAUAAUAAUAAAAAACCACGGUGUUGUACAUAUAGAUAAAAACGUUCUCUCAUUUUACAUUAUUAUUAUUACAUUAUUAUUAUUACAGCUAUAGACGUGUACUGAAUCGUAAUUGUUCGCCGAGUUUAAUCAGUUCAAUAAUUAUGAUAAUAUUAAUACGUUUAUUACGAUUAUAUUAUUAUUAUAUUAUAUUAUUAUUAUAUUAUUAUUAUUAUUAUAUUAUAUUAUUAUUAUUAUUAUUAUUAUUAUUAUAUACGACAACGUUAAGAAGAGUUUUUAACACUUUUUUUUUUUUUAUUAUUAUUUUUCGCGUACGCGACGAGUAUAUUAUUUUUAUUAUUAUUAUUAUUAUUAUUAUUAUUACUAUAAGUACAUAAUAUUAUACUCUUACUUACAUUAUGAAAACAUUUUUUUUUUUUUUUUUUUUAUAUAUACAUUCAUACGUG